CAGUGCAAUAAUGAAAGGGCAU
rnacentral:miRNA from 6 species